GGACCCUUAGCUCAGUUGGUAGAGCGUUGCAUUCACAUUGCAAAGGUCAGAAGUUCGAUCCUUCUAGGGUCCA
rnacentral:tRNA from 1 species